GGCUCCAUAGUGUAGAGGUUAGCACGUCUGCUUUACACUCAGAAGGUCCUGGGUUUGCACCCCACGUGGAGCCA
rnacentral:tRNA from 1 species